AACGAACGCUGGCGGCAGGCCCAACACAUGCAAGUCGAGCGCCCUUUCGGGGGAGCGGCGGACGGGUGAGUAACGCGUGGGAAUAUGCCCUUCUCUACGGAAUAGCCUCGGGAAACUGAGAGUAAUACCGUAUACGCCCUGUGGGGGAAAGAUUUAUCGGGGAAGGAUUAGCCCGCGUUGGAUUAGGUAGUUGGUGGGGUAAUGGCCUACCAAGCCGACGAUCCAUAGCUGGUUUGAGAGGAUGAUCAGCCACACUGGGACUGAGACACGGCCCAGACUCCUACGGGAGGCAGCAGUGGGGAAUCUUAGACAAUGGGGGCAACCCUGAUCUAGCCAUGCCGCGUGAGUGAUGAAGGCCUUAGGGUUGUAAAGCUCUUUCAGCUGGGAAGAUAAUGACGGUACCAGCAGAAGAAGCCCCGGCUAACUCCGUG
rnacentral:rRNA from 1 species